CCCAGACUCCUACGGGAGGCAGCAGUGAGGAAUAUUGGUCAAUGGGCGCGAGCCUGAACCAGCCAAGUCGCGUGAGGGAUGACGGCCCUACGGGUUGUAAACCUCUUUUGUCGGGGAGCAAAUUCCGCCACGUGUGGCGGAGUCGAGAGUACCCGAAGAAAAAGCAUCGGCUAACUCCGUGCCAGCAGCCGCGGUAAUACGUAGGGGGCAAGCGUUAUCCGGAAUUACUGGGUGUAAAGGGAGCGUAGACGGUGAAGUAAGUCUGGAGUGAAAGGCGGGGGCCCAACCCCCGGACUGCUCUGGAAACUAUUUGACUGGAGUGCAGGAGAGGUAAGCGGAAUUCCUAGUGUAGCGGUGAAAUGCGUAGAUAUUAGGAGGAACACCAGUGGCGAAGGCGGCUUACUGGACUGUAACUGACGUUGAGGCUCGAAAGCGUGGGGAGCAAACAGGAUUAGAUACCCGUGUA
rnacentral:rRNA from 1 species